AACGAACGCUGGCGGCAGGCCUAACACAUGCAAGUCGAGCGAGAAGCUUCUUUCGGGAAGUGGAGAGCGGCGGACGGGUUAGUAACGCGUGGGAACAUGCCCUAAAGUCUGGGAUAACUAUUAGAAAUGAUAGCUAAUACCGGAUGGUCCCUUCGGGGUAAAGCUUUAGCGCUUUAGGAUUGGCCCGCGUAAGAUUAGCUAGUUGGUGAGGUAAUGGCUCACCAAGGCAACGAUCUUUAGCUGGUUUGAGAGGAUGAUCAGCAACACUGGAACUGAGACACGGUCCAG
rnacentral:rRNA from 1 species